UCCGUAGGUGGAUAAUUAAGUCAGAGGUGAAAUCCUGCAGCUCAACUGUAGAAUUGCCUUUGAUACUGGUUAUCUUGAGUCAUUAUGAAGUGGUUAGAAUGUGUAGUGUAGCGGUGAAAUGCAUAGAUAUUACACAGAAUACCGAUUGCGAAGGCAGAUCACUAAUAAUGUACUGACACUGAGGGACGAAAGCGUGGGGAGCAAACAGGAUUAGAUACCCUGGUAGUC
rnacentral:rRNA from 1 species